GACGGAGGAUGCAAGCGUUAUCCGGAAUGAUUGGGCGUAAAGCGUCCGCAGGUGGCAGUUCAAGUCUGCUGUCAAAGACCGGGGCUUAACUUCGGAAAGGCAGUGGAAACUGAACAGCUAGAGUAUGGUAGGGGCAGAGGGAAUUCCACGUGUAGCGGUGAAAUGCGUAGAGAUGUGGAGGAACACCUGUGGCGAAGGCGCCUUGCUGGCCAAUUACUGACGCUGAGGCGCGAAAGCGUGGGGAGCAAACAGG
rnacentral:rRNA from 1 species